rnacentral:rRNA from 1 species
UUAAGUUAUUAAGGGCGCACGGUGGAUGCCUUGGCACUAGAAGCCGAUGAAGGACGUUACUAACGACGAUAUGCUUUGGGGAGCUGUAAGUAAGCUUUGAUCCAGAGAUCUCCGAAUGGGGAAACCCAGCAUGAGUUAUGUCAUGUUAUCGAUAUGUGAAUACAUAGCAUAUCAGAAGGCACACCCGGAGAACUGAAACAUCUUAGUACCCGGAGGAAGAGAAAGAAAAUUCGAUUCCCUUAGUAGCGGCGAGCGAAACGGGAAGAGCCCAAACCAACAAGCUUGCUUGUUGGGGUUGUAGGACACUCUAUACGGAGUUACAAAGGACGACAUUAGACGAAUCAUCUGGAAAGAUGAAUCAAAGAAGGUAAUAAUCCUGUAGUCGAAAAUGUUGUCUCUCUUGAGUGGAUCCUGAGUACGACGGAGCACGUGAAAUUCCGUCGGAAUCUGGGAGGACCAUCUCCUAAGGCUAAAUACUCUCUAGUGACCGAUAGUGAACCAGUACCGUGAGGGAAAGGUGAAAAGCACCCCGGAAGGGGAGUGAAAUAGAACCUGAAACCGUGUGCUUACAAGUAGUCAGAGCCCGUUAAUGGGUGAUGGCGUGCCUUUUGUAGAAUGAACCGGCGAGUUACGAUUUGAUGCAAGGUUAAGCAGUAAAUGUGGAGCCGUAGCGAAAGCGAGUCUGAAUAGGGCGUUUAGUAUUUGUCGUAGACCCGAAACCAGGUGAUCUACCCUUGGUCAGGUUGAAGUUCAGGUAACACUGAAUGGAGGACCGAACCGACUUACGUUGAAAAGUGAGCGGAUGAACUGAGUGGUAGCGGAGAAAUUUCCAAUCGAACCUGGAGAUAGCUGGUUCUCUCCGAAAUAGCUUUAGGGCUAGCCUCAAGUGAUGAUUAUUGGAGGUAGAGCACUGUUUGGACGAGGGGCCCCUCUCGGGUUACCGAAUUCAGACAAAACUCCGAAUGCCAAUUAAUUUAACUUGGGAGUCAGAACAUGGGUGAUAAGGUCCGUGUUUCGAAAGGGAAACAGCCCAGAACCACCAGCUAAAGUCCAAAAUAUAUGUUAAGUGGAAAAGGAUGUGGCGUUGCCCAGACAACUAGGAUGUUGGCUUAGAAGCAGCCAUCAUUUAAAGAGGUGCGUAAUAGCUCACUAGUCGAGUGACACUGCGCCGAAAAAUGUACCGGGGCUAAACAUAUUACCGAAGCUGUGGAUUGUCCUUUGGACAAUGGUAGGAGAGCGUUCUAAGGGCGUUGAAGCAUGAUCGUAAGGACAUGUGGAGCGCUUAGAAGUGAGAAUGCCGGUGUGAGUAGCGAAAGACGGGUGAGAAUCCCGUCCACCGAUUGACUAAGGUUUCCAGAGGAAGGCUCGUCCGCUCUGGGUCAGUCGGGUCCUAAGCUGAGGCCGACAGGCGUAGGCGAUGGAUAACAGGUUGAUAUUCCUGUACCACCUAUAAUCGUUUUAAUCGAUGGGGGGACGCAGUAGGAUAGGCGAAGCGUGCGAUUGGAUUGCACGUCUAAGCAGUAAGGCUGAGUAUUAGGCAAAUCCGGUACUCGUUAAGGCUGAGCUGUGAUGGGGAGAAGACAUUGUGUCUUCGAGUCGUUGAUUUCACACUGCCGAGAAAAGCCUCUAGAUAGAAAAUAGGUGCCCGUACCGCAAACCGACACAGGUAGUCAAGAUGAGAAUUCUAAGGUGAGCGAGCGAACUCUCGUUAAGGAACUCGGCAAAAUGACCCCGUAACUUCGGGAGAAGGGGUGCUCUUUAGGGUUAACGCCCAGAAGAGCCGCAGUGAAUAGGCCCAAGCGACUGUUUAUCAAAAACACAGGUCUCUGCUAAACCGUAAGGUGAUGUAUAGGGGCUGACGCCUGCCCGGUGCUGGAAGGUUAAGAGGAGUGGUUAGCUUCUGCGAAGCUACGAAUCGAAGCCCCAGUAAACGGCGGCCGUAACUAUAACGGUCCUAAGGUAGCGAAAUUCCUUGUCGGGUAAGUUCCGACCCGCACGAAAGGCGUAACGAUUUGGGCACUGUCUCAACGAGAGACUCGGUGAAAUCAUAGUACCUGUGAAGAUGCAGGUUACCCGCGACAGGACGGAAAGACCCCGUGGAGCUUUACUGUAGCCUGAUAUUGAAAUUCGGCACAGCUUGUACAGGAUAGGUAGGAGCCUUUGAAACGUGAGCGCUAGCUUACGUGGAGGCGCUGGUGGGAUACUACCCUAGCUGUGUUGGCUUUCUAACCCGCACCACUUAUCGUGGUGGGAGACAGUGUCAGGCGGGCAGUUUGACUGGGGCGGUCGCCUCCUAAAAGGUAACGGAGGCGCUCAAAGGUUCCCUCAGAAUGGUUGGAAACCAUUCAUAGAGUGUAAAGGCAUAAGGGAGCUUGACUGCGAGACCUACAAGUCGAGCAGGGUCGAAAGACGGACUUAGUGAUCCGGUGGUUCCGCAUGGAAGGGCCAUCGCUCAACGGAUAAAAGCUACCCCGGGGAUAACAGGCUUAUCUCCCCCAAGAGUUCACAUCGACGGGGAGGUUUGGCACCUCGAUGUCGGCUCAUCGCAUCCUGGGGCUGUAGUCGGUCCCAAGGGUUGGGCUGUUCGCCCAUUAAAGCGGUACGCGAGCUGGGUUCAGAACGUCGUGAGACAGUUCGGUCCCUAUCCGUCGUGGGCGUAGGAAAUUUGAGAGGAGCUGUCCUUAGUACGAGAGGACCGGGAUGGACAUACCUCUGGUGUACCAGUUGUCGUGCCAACGGCAUAGCUGGGUAGCUAUGUGUGGACGGAUAAGUGCUGAAAGCAUCUAAGCAUGAAGCCCCCCCUCAAGAUGAGAUUUCCCAACUUCGGUUAUAAGAUCCCUCAAAGAUGAUGAGGUUAAUAGGUUCGAGGUGGAAGCAUGGUGACAUGUGGAGCUGACGAAUACUAAUCGAUCGAAGACUUAAUCAA